AGGCGGCGAGGGCGACAUCGACGGUCACGCGCUAGCGCGUUUUUAGAAGCCAUAGCGUCAUAGAUGCUCGAUAUUUUAGACUUGUGCGGUAGCCAUUCGACAAAACGCGACUGUCCUGAGUAGACAGUGGCUGCAACCAUGCACUCCGUCGCCAAAUGCAGCAGUCGGCGUUCCUUUCAGUGCCACCCUGUCGCUGUUAGCUCUUUCGUGCUUGACUAGCGUGACAGACAUGAGUUUCAUCAAUCAGCUGGCUUCACUGGUGUGUUUCGAUGAACGAAAUUCAGGCGGAUCCCGUGCAGACCAGAAGCAGGGAGCUAGGACGCCCAAUAGGAAGAUGGCCAGCAGCGGACCCGAAGUCACUCCCAAGAGACUAGUGGAAGCCUGCGACAUUCGAACUAUAAGGAACAUGGCUGCUGCAACCCUCCUCUCUCCACCACCUAUGAUGCACACACAUGCAAUAUAGUCCAGGCAGAAGUGUGGACCGCACACCCAUGGAAAAAAGAUGCCCAGGACGAACAUGGCCAGAAGGGGACCAGACAGGGCUCCCACCAGGGACGAUGCAG